CCUAAAAGAAAACAUGAGUCACGCAGCAACAUUUCAAACAAAUGUUAUCUCAACAAAUCCAUGUGAAAUGAACGUCCCUCAUGGACAAUAAAAGAAAGAAUACAGUCAAGACUUCUUUUAAAAACUAUUCAUGAGUCGCAAUAACUAUGUAGUUACCCCUAUGAAUAAAUUAGAAGACAGACUAGAGCUCUAACUAGAUCAUAAUCAUUCACCCAAGGGCAUAAUUCCCGAUUUCCUUACCAGCGUCACAUUAGACCCUAGGUCACACUAGACUGAAAACAUUCAAAGAGGUCACACUAGACCGAAAACAUUUAAGAAUGUCACACUAGACCCAUGACCACACAAGACCAAAAACAUUUAAACAGGUCACACUAGACCCAAAAAUGUUUCACAAAACUCAUGAUUUAAAAUGAUGUGAUAAUUGUACACUUUACAACUAUCGUUUCCACAACUCAAAGCACUAUCAAAACAAUAUAAAUCAUCUUUUCACAAUAUAUUGUUUUCCUCAAAGAAUCAAAUUAAAACAAUCAAAUGAUCCAAAUUGCAAAUAUUGUUUUCACCACAAUACAAUUCUGCAAAUAUUUCUACACACACACACAGAGUCAUCCUCUCAGGAAUGCCACUAAUACCAACUAUAGCUAAUAGUAUAGCAAAUAAAAUAAAAUAAACGAUAAAGUAACUCCGUUCGUAAAAGAACAUCGUGAGAUUUACUCACCUAGAAAUCUCGCUGUGUCUUCACAUAAAGUAAGAAUCAGUAUAAUAUCACAAAAUUUCACUCACAAAAGAUCUUGUUAAGCAACAAGGUCUCAACUUAGUAAAAAUGAAGCACAAAAGCGUUCAAUGUCCGAAACAUGAACUUAGGCUAAAAUCGAAGAUUUCGCUAAUCGAGAUGGACCUCAUCCGAGACCACCCAAGGUAUCCGGAACACUUCUAGGAUCAAUUGACAAAACAAAACAACAAUCCAACAGUGAGAUCCUCACAGAUCGAAAACCGAAUGAACCAAAGUUACAUUAAACCUAGUAUGUUUCAAACUAUAGAAUAGGACACAACCCAUAUAUAAACACGCUCAUAUCGACAAGUAGGAGAUAACGGAGCAAACAACAACUCCAAAAGAGGCUAGAUGCGCUGCCACACUGACCUCGAUUCCAAGGAAAUCUAGCCUGUCAAAAUGAAGAUCAUAGCAAAAGAAGUAACUUUUAUACUUGGGACUAAGGCCAAAUUGACCUGGAUCGAGCUAGAUCAAGCUUGAAAGCUAGAUCAACAAGAGAAAUUGAAAUCGAGAUCCUGAGCUCCACACUUCGAUUCGAGUUGUAAGGUUGCUAUAGAUGGAAUCAAGAGGAGAUCUUCAAGACCCGGGUGGUUUCGAGCCAAACCACCGCCGGAAAUAGAAGUUCAGACUGGGGCAGCAUCGUCAUGGAAGUCAACCCUCGAUCCGCCAUGUACUGCUUAAAUCGGCGCAGACCAGCUCGGUGGGGAGAACUGCGACGAUGAGGCGAGUCAAUCUGUGGUGGUGGCAUGAUCGGAGGUUGCCAGACGGCCGAGAAAAAACUGGGUCGGGUCGAGGGUUUCAAAGAGAGAAAAUGGUUUCCGAAAAAUUCUGGAAUCCUUCUAAAAAAGGAAAUCUGACUUUUUUUUUUCUUCUGAAAAUUCUAUAAUUAUAGAAAAUUUCCAAAAAUGAAAAGUCUUCCCCUGACCAUAACUUCUUUAUACGAUCUCGGAAUUUAGCGUGCCGCAUGUCCACGAACUCAUAUAUGCGCUCUAUGACAUUCAUAAAGAGUUUUCGGAGAAAUUCAACGAAUAAAAUGUCAACUCUUGACCACUUGAAUACACAACGUUUCGAAUAAUUAUUCGUCCUAAACACUUUCACAUCACUCACGAAAUAGCUAAAUCUACAAACCAAAACCUCACUAACUUCAAUUAAACAAUAAAAAAUUAAAAAUAAAUUUUCGGGAUAUUACACAAGGGUUGAAACAAAACAACUCAACUUAAAAGUAAUUUUUUCCACUAUUGGAUUUACAUCAAAGGGUGGUUGAACAUAGUUUCUUUAGUUAGUUACUGAUAAAGUAAACAUGCUCGAUGAAUUUAAAACCUCAACAUGAGUAAGCUGGAUUACCACACUCACUGUAUAGAUAAUGAGGUGCGGGCUAGCCUAUUUACAUACCUCGCUUGUGGUUCAUCACAUUAAGAAUUUUGAUGGAUUUGCAUGCGAGCAUUUUUUAUAAGUCAGAUACACAUUUCUUGUGGAACAAAGAGAUACACAUUGUGCUAAAAGGUACUUAGCUUUGGCUUUGAGGUCAGGUUCAUAUGUUGUCUCAAUGAUAUUAUGGGUUGAUCUGUUUGGUUGCUGGUAUAUGUGGCAUGGGUUGCAAGACUGGAAAAAUCUACUUGGAUUCGAUCGACGAUUAUGGGUUGAAAAUCCUAAAGUUUCAGACAUUUAUGAAUUUUGUGAUCAGUCUUCAGUUUAAUUGUUCUACCCCCGAUUCUGGUGAUACUGAUCGGUUGGUAGAAUGUGGCGACCGGUCAUGGAGAAUGUGGAGACCGGUCAUGGAGGGAAUAAUGUGAGUUCUGGGGUAGUACUGAGGGGCACAAGAAGGUUCACCUUGCUAAUUGGGACAUAAUCUGUAGACCUAAAAGUGUUGGUGGACUUGGUAUUAAAAAGACCUCAAUGAUGAAUGAAGCCAUGCUCUCUAAAAUUGGCUGGAGGUUGAUGCAACCUAGAGAAGGAUUGUGGCAGGAUGUCUUACAGAUGAAGUAUCUGAAGAAAGAUUCAUGUCAUGACCCUACUUACAAAAAUCCAUCUAGAUGUUCGAGUACUUGGAGGAGCAUCACUUUUGGUGUGGACUUAUUACGAAAGGGUUUAAUUUGGCCGGUCGACGAUGGUCAAAGAAUCUCCUUCUAGUUUGAUAAAUGGCUACAUUGUGGCCCCCUUACUGAUCAUGUUUCCCCCCUACUACCAUGGAUUCACAAUUCAAGGUUAGUAAUACUUAGAACCAAGAUGGAUAGGAUGUGAAUUAUCUUAAGAAUCACUUUAAUGUUGAUAUUGUUAAACCAUAUUGUCAGCAUUCCUGUUGGUUUUUUGAAUAGUGGUUUUGAUAUGAGAAUUUAGGGUGAAGCAUCAAAUGAGAAAUUUUCUGUCAAGUCAGCUUACCUUGCUCUUAUUAAGGAGGAAGAAUUCUCCAGUUAUAAAUGGAAGAGCAUUUGGAGUAUUUCUAUUCCUCCCAAACUCAAGACGUUUGCUUGGCUUGUGUCCCAUGGAAAUUUUUUUAACUAAUGUAGAGAGGACUAAGAGAUGUUUUACUACCGUAUCUACUUGCCCUAUUUGUCACAAGUACCCAGAAACUUUAAUCCAUCUCCUUAGGGAUUGUUCUAGAGCUAUGGAGGUUUGGAAAAAUGUUAUUUGUUUGGACAAGAUAAGUCGAGCUAUUAGCCUUAAUUGUUGGGGCUGGUUUGCUGCAAAUAUUCACUGCAAUGAUUAUUGCUAUAAUGGUUUGCAGUGGAACAGUAUCUUCAUCUAUACAUGCUGGUUUUUGUGGAAAUGGAGAAAUAAGUCAAUUUUUGAUGAAGAAUUUAAAAUGUCAUUUACACCAUAUCUACCGUAUCUACUUGCCCUAUUUGUCACAAGUACCCAGAAACUUUAAUCCAUCUCCUUAGGGAUUGUUCUAGAGCUAUGGAGGUUUGGAAAAAGGUUAUUUGUUUGGACAAGAUAAGUCGAGCUAUUAGCCUUAAUUGUUGGGGCUGGUUUGCUGCAAAUAUUCACUGCAAUGAUUAUUGCUAUAAUGGUUUGCAGUGGAACAGUAUCUUCAUCUAUACAUGUUGGUUUUUGUGGAAAUGGAGAAAUAAGUCAAUUUUUGAUGAAGAAUUUAAAAUGCCAUUUACACCAUAUAUACCGUAUCUACUUGCCCUAUUUGUCACAAGUACCCAUAAACUUUAAUCCAUCUCCUUAGGGAUUGUUCUAGAGCUAUGGAGGUUUGGAAAAAGGUUAUUUGUUUGGACAAGAUAAGUCGAGCUAUUAGCCUUAAUUGUUGGGGCUGGUUUGCUGCAAAUAUUCACUGCAAUGAUUAUUGCUAUAAUGGUUUGCAGUGGAACAAUAUCUUCAUCUAUACAUGCUGGUUUUUGUGGAAAUGGAAAAAUAAGUCAAUUUUUGAUGAAGAAUUUAAAAUGUCAUUUACACCAUGGAAAGUUAUAGUGGAUGCUACAUCUGAAUGGCAAGCUGCUCAAGGAAAAAAGAAUGAUGAAUUGAAUUUUUCUAUCAUUGAGCUGAAGUGGAAGUGCCCAGAUGAUGGUUGGUUCAAACUCAAUGUUGAUGGGGCUAGGAAAGCUCAGUCUUGUUGUAUAGGAGCUGGUGAUGUUUUUAGAGAUCACAAAGGAAAUUGGAUUUGUGGCUUCUGUGCUAGCCUUGGUGUUGGCCAGGUGAUUGAGGCUGAAGCUUGGGAGAUUUUUAUUGGCUUAAAAAUGACCUCUGAGAGAUAUAGAGGGAAAAUUAUUGUGGAGUGUGAUUCUGAGACCCUAAUGCUUCUCUUGAUUAAGGGAACUGAUGAACUCCAUCCUCUCUAUUCUAUUCUGAAAAGUUGCACAGCUUAUCUUAGUCUCUUCUUGGAAACUGAUAUACGCCAUAUCUAUAGGGAAGAAAAUAUGGUUGCUGAUGGUUUAUCCAAAUGUUGCUUGAAAGAUGAUUUCUGCAUAAACUAUCUUGAGCACCCUCCCAGGCCCGGACUUUAGAUUUUGAGGCUUAAGGCGAAAAAUAAAAAUGGGCCUAUAUUUUUCAUAGAAAAGAUAAAAAAAAAAUAGCCAAAAAUAUAUUUACAAAAAGAAUUGAAAAGAAAAAUAAAUACACAACAGAAAUAAGAUUCAAAGUUAAGCUAAGAGUAACAUAAAAGAAAGGAAUACAACUUGUCAACUAAACCAAUCUCAUUGUUUAGUAAAAGACUUGCAUUUUAUUUACUUAAUAAUUUUUUAAAAUAUCUCCAAAAAAAAAAAAAAGGCCCCGACGAGACAUUGGGCCUGAGACCGCCGACUCACGGGCCUCAUGUCAGGUCCGGCUCUACACCCUCCUCCACAAGUCAGGGAUAUUCUGCUUGAUGACCUUUGUGACAUUACCAGAAGUAGGACUAUUCUAGCCUGUUCUAGCCUUCUGAGCUAAGUUUCUUUUUUGUUAGGCCGUUUUGGCCUCCAUCCAACCAAAAAAAAUAGUAAUAGUAGUAGUAGAAAUAGUAAUAGUGUUCUGGGAAUUUUGUUGCGUUUCAACUUCGACGUUUCAAGUUUUUUCUUCUAAUCUUUUUUCAAUCUCCUUAACUAGAAAAGGUUAAUCGUAUUCCUGAGUAUUCGAUAAUAUCCUUUUCUUACAUUAAAUAGGAGACUCAGAAACUCUCAUAAAAUAGUAGGACUAAUAAUAGACUUCAUCAGCUUCCCCUGUAAUGAUACAUCUAAUAAACAUGCAUGCAUAGAUCACUUGGUACAAUGAAGGAAUUGCUUGUUUACGAUAAUGUUCACCUAGUCAUUAAUUGAUCAAUAACUUAUGCUCAAGAUAUAAAGGGAAAAUCGUCCGUAUAGUACCUGACUUUUUCUCCACAGAUUUGACAUUAAUCGAGUCGGAACGCCCAAUUACUCCGCCGCCUUCAUACAUUUUUUCUGCUUUUUUUUUAUUAUAUGAAAAAAAUUAACGAAAACAAAAACAAAAGGGUAUAUUGAUCAUUUAAUGAUCAAAAUCCUUCAGCUGUCAGUUUUUUGUAACGGAGCUAAAGGCAUGAGGUACCAUUCUUCGAUCGGGGAACCUCAGGUACCGUUCUAGUAUUAUCUGAACGUGAGGUACUGAAGUUGAGAAUGGGGAAAAAGUCAAGUAUUGUAUGGAUGAUUUUCCCGAAUAUAAAUCUAACACUGGAAAAUAAAACAACUCAACUUAAAAAUAAUUAUUUUAUCCAAGGGUACUAGAAAUAGAGAUAGAAAGAAGAAAUAACCAAGUCAAGAAGACAACAAGAUUUAAUGAAGUUCGGCAAUAUCCUUGCUUACGUCAUCGGAGAGUUUCACCUUCACUAAUGAGAGAAUUACAUAAGUACAAGAUUACACCUCUCAAUUUUAUACUCAACCUAAGCCCUUGUAUCCAAUAGGAUACCCCUUGCACACCCUCUCUCAACCCAGAAGAUCACUCUACCCCAAGAGUUAUUCACACUUUUGAACACAACUCACUUUGCUUCUAUACAUGAAGACCCUUAGAGUUGCUUUUUGCUCUCCUUGCUUGCCUCCACACAAGCUUCAUCUAUUUAUACCAUUGAUAGAAGUCUGGAGACUCGCUUCAUCAAUGCUCAUACAUGAAUCAACCACCCAUCUCCCACAUUAACUCCCUAGGAAGACUAAAAAAGUCAAACAUGAAUUUAACUAUGCAUUUCUUCCCAAUGCAUCAACUUGACCAUGCAUUUAUACCCAAUGCAUGCACUUGACCGUGCACCAAUUUUCCAUUCAUAAGUUGUCACCUUGAAUGCACAAACAAUUAAUACUAUGCAUUCAUGUCAUGCAAAAGAUCUCCACCAAGGAGGGAUAGGCACCAAACCCGACAAAUUGAGCAUAAUUUCCUUAGUCAGGUGAAUACCAUUGUGCUUCUUUAUUAUGGAGAACCUUUGGACCAUUAAGGAUUUGGAUAAUGAUUAAGUUGGGCUUCACAUUCAAAUCUAAUGGCAAUAAAUGGAGUGGCCAAAAUCUUUAUAAAUUCAUAUGCAAGGUCUCCAUUUUUCCAUGUAGGAUCUAUAUUUAUAAAACAUAAUCCAUUAGUCAGUUGACAUUCAAGCUUCAUUGUAUCUCUUGAAGCAAACCUGUUUUAGCAUCUCAAUCCUGGAUAGAAAAAUGAUUGAGAUACCAAAUUUAUGUUAUGUCCCAAAUGAUGUGGCAUUAGCCACAUCAUUUCCAAUGUGGAUUCCAAAUGCCACAUGGAUUCACUUAAUUUCCAUAUUUACAUUUAAAUUUUAUUAACUGAAUUUUUAAAUUUAUUUAUUUUUUUCUAAAGAAAAAUUUUACUUAUAGAAAAUUUUCAUUCUCUGCAUCUCUUUUGUGAGGGUAAGAACACACAACAAACCUCAAAAGGUCGAUACAAAUUUUUUUUCUCAAAUCUUCAAAACCAUUAUUGCAAGUUUGAACUUUACAUUGUACAACUUGGGUUUAUAUUGAUCUUAGGGCAUGUGUGUAUGUAUAUGAUGAUUGCUAAAGAAGAUCAACCAUGGAAAUAACAUAUCAUUAUAAUUCGAAAAAACAUAACCCAAAACCCAUCAAACUGCAAAGAAAAUCAUUGUUCAAAAGAAUCAGAAUUUUAUCAACUGCAUGUGUUCGCUAAAUUGGAGUUCACAAAUGUGAGUUAUUAUUGACCACCAAAGAUCUGCCAUAGUUUUUCAUGAAGCUUUAUGUUUGUAGAGGAGUUCAUGGUGGCAAUUUCAGUUGUUUUAAGGG